CCUACGGGAGGCAGCAGUAAGGAAUAUUGGACAAUGCUCGCAAGAGUGAUCCAGCCAUGCCGCGUGCAGGAAGAAUGCCCUAUGGGUAGUAAACUGCUUUUGAACUAGAGAAAACCCCAGUACGUGUACUGGGCUGAUAGUAUAGUUAGAAUAAGCAUCGGCUAACUUCGUGCCAGCAGCCGCGGUAAGACGAAGGAUGCAAGCGUUAUCCGGAUUCAUUGGGUUUAAAGGGAGCGUAGGUGGACUUAUAAGUCAGUGGUGAAAUCUCCGAGCUUAACUCGGAAAUUGCCAUUGAUACUGUAGGUCUUGAGUACAGUUGCUGUGGGCGGAAUAUGACAUGUAGUGGUGAAAUACAUAGAGAUGUCAUAGAACACCGAUUGCGAAGGCAGCUCACAAAGCUGUAACUGACACUGAGGCUCGAAAGUGCGGGGAUCAAACAGGAUUAGAUACCCUGGUAGUCCGCACCGUAACGAUGAUUACUCGCUGCUAGGGGGCAACCGUUUAGUGACUUAGCGAAAGCGAUAAGAAUCCACCUGGGGAGUACGCCGGCAACGGUGAAACGUCAAAGGAAUUAGACGGCGNGAGAGNGCGAGGACGACACGAGGGAGGAGG
rnacentral:rRNA from 1 species